rnacentral:tRNA from 1 species
GACCCGGAUGCCUGGAAGGCGUACUGGGUGCGGAUCGUGACCGCCAUGCGGUCCGUGGGCGGGCAGCGGUUCCGGUUCGAGUUCGCGCCGAACCG